rnacentral:sRNA from 1 species
GCGGAGGAAAAGAAACCAACAGGGAUUGCCCUAGUAACGGCGAGUGAAGCGGCAAUAGCUCAAAUUUGAAAUCUGGUCUCCUUUGGGGGCCCGAGUUGUAAUUUGCAGAGGGCGCUUUGGCGUCGGCAGCGGUCUAAGUUCCUUGGAACAGGACGUCACAGAGGGUGAGAAUCCCGUACGUGGUCGCCUGCCUUCGCCGUGUAAAGCCCCUUCGACGAGUCGAGUUGUUUGGGAAUGCAGCUCUAAAUGGGAGGUAAAUUUCUUCUAAAGCUAAAUACUGGCCAGAGACCGAUAGCGCACAAGUAGAGUGAUCGAAAGAUGAAAAGCACUUUGGAAAGAGAGUCAAACAGCACGUGAAAUUGUUGAAAGGGAAGCGCUUGCAGCCAGACGUGCCCGUGGUGGUUCUCCUCCGCGGGCAGGCCAGCAUCAGUUCGAGCGGUCGGAUAAAGGCCUCUGUCACGUAUCUACCUUCGGGUUGACCUUAUAGGGGAGGCGUAAUGCGAUCAGCUCGGACUGAGGUCCGCGCAUCUGCUAGGAUGCUGGCGUAAUGGCUGUAAGCGGCCCGUCUUGAAACACGGACCAAGGAGUCUAACAUCUAUGCGAGUGUUUGGGUGUCAAGCCCGGGCGCGCAAUGAAAGUGAACGGAGGUGGGAACCCUUUCUUGGGGUGCACCAUCGACCGAUCCUGAAGUCUUCGGAUGGAUUUGAGUAAGAGCAUAGCUGUUGGGACCCGAAAGAUGGUGAACUAUGCUUGAAUAGGGUGAAGCCAGAGGAAACUCUGGUGGAGGCUCGCAGCGGUUCUGACGUGCAAAUCGAUCGUCAAAUUUGGGCAUAGGGGCGAAAGA